rnacentral:rRNA from 1 species
UACAGAGGUCCCAACCGUUGUUCGGAUUCAUUGGGCGUAAAGGGUGCGUAGGCGGCGAGGCAAGUCAGGUGUGAAAUCUCGGGGCUCAACCCCGAAACUGCACUUGAUACUGCCUUGCUCGAGUACUGGAGAGGAGACUGGAAUUUACGGUGUAGCAGUGAAAUGCGUAGAUAUCGUAAGGAAGACCAGUGGCGAAGGCGAAUCUCUGGACAGUUACUGACACUGAGGCACGAAGGCCAGGGGAGCAAACGGG